rnacentral:rRNA from 1 species
GCUGAUUCAAUGACUUUGCAUUCACAUACUAAUGCAUCGGCUGUCAUGAGCCAGAGUCAAAGUCCGUGUGAAGGUUGAUUCAUUUUGCAUUUUUGCUCAAGCGCAGGAUAACUUCGCGAGGCACUACCAAAAGAUUUUGUUGUUUCUACUGCGGCGCGUGGUUCGGGGUGCGACGCAUCCCGGGCGUGACCCCGCCGAGUCAACAGUUUGUAAACGUUCACAUUGGUUUGGAGUUGUAAACUCGGUAAUGAUCUUCUGUAGGGUGACCUGCGGAGGGAUCAUUACCGAGUUUACAACUCCCAAACCCAAUGUGAACGUUACCAAACUGUUGCCUCGGCGGGGUCACGCCCCGGGUGCGUCGCAGCCCCGGAACCAGGCGCCCGCCGGAGGAACCAACCAAACUCUUUCUGUAGUCCCCUCGCGGACGUAUUUCUUACAGCUCUGAGCAAAAAUUCAAAAUGAAUCAAAACUUUCAACAACGGAUCUCUUGGUUCUGGCAUCGAUGAAGAACGCAGCGAAAUGCGAUAAGUAAUGUGAAUUGCAGAAUUCAGUGAAUCAUCGAAUCUUUGAACGCACAUUGCGCCCGCCAGUAUUCUGGCGGGCAUGCCUGUCCGAGCGUCAUUUCAACCCUCGAACCCCUCCGGGGGAUCGGCGUUGGGGAUCGGGACCCCUCACACGGGUGCCGGCCCCGAAAUACAGUGGCGGUCUCGCCGCAGCCUCUCCUGCGCAGUAGUUUGCACAACUCGCACCGGGAGCGCGGCGCGUCCACGUCCGUAAAACACCCAACUUUCUGAAAUGUUGACCUCGGAUCAGGUAGGAAUACCCGCUGAACUUAAGCAUAUCAAGAGCCGGGAGGGAAAAACUCACUACGGAGUUUCCAACCCCAAACCAAGGUGAACGUUACGAACUGUUGCCUCGGCGGGGGUCAGCCCGGGUGCGUGCAGCCCGGAACAGGCCCCGCAAAGAAACAACAAUUUUGUGGGGUACCCCCGGAGAGAUUUGUUGACGAGUGAAAAAAAUUAAAAGGAAUC